AUUGAACGCUGGCGGCAUGCCUUACACAUGCAAGUCGAACGGCAGCGGACCUUCGGGUGCCGGCGAGUGGCGAACGGGUGAGUAAUGUAUCGGAACGUACCUUUCAGUGGGGGAUAACGUAGCGAAAGUUACGCUAAUACCGCAUAUUCUGUGAGCAGGAAAGCAGGGGAUCGCAAGACCUUGCGCUGAUUGAGCGGCCGAUAUCAGAUUAGCUAGUUGGUGAGGUAAAGGCUCACCAAGGCGACGAUCUGUAGCGGGUCUGAGAGGAUGAUCCGCCACACUGGAAAUGAGACACGGUCCAGACUCCUACGGGAGGCAGCAGUGGGGAAUUUUGGACAAUGGGGGCAACCCUGAUCCAGCCAUGCCGCGUGAGUGAAGAAGGCCUUCGGGUUGUAAAGCUCUUUCGUCCGGGAAGAAAUCGCAUCAGCUAAUACCUGGUGUGGAUGACGGUACCGGAAUAAGAAGCACCGGCUAACUACGUGCCAGCCGCCGCGGUAAGAC
rnacentral:rRNA from 1 species